AUGGUCAUACCAUGCUGAAAACACUGGUUCUCGCCCGAUCACAGAAGUUAAGCUUUAUCGAGCAUGGCCAGUGCGUUAGGGUGACCGUAUGAGAAUACAACGCGUCGUU